ensembl:lncRNA
CACACACACAUCACACACACCACACACACACACCACACACACACACCACACACACACACACACACACACACACACACACACACACACACUUCACUAGGUGGAAACUGUAUUUGAUACUUUAAAUAUAUACUUCAUCUGUAACAAAUACACCAGAAAUUGAACACAAAACAUUAAAUCAAGUGUGCUCUAGAAGGAAACAGGAAGAACUAUUGUCCCUGUGACUGAAGCAUCAAAAAGCCCUCUGGAUUAUGAGUCAGAAUCCACAAGCCAGAAAAGAGAAACAUGUAAUGCUCAACUUCAUUAAGAACUAAACAAACACAAAUUGUGUCUGACAAAAGACAUCAUGUCCUCACCUACUCCUCAGACUGGGCAACGUGCAAUGAACAGAAAGAUAACAGAGGACAGUUCUUGGCGAUGGGAAGUCUUAUGUCACUGUGUUUCCAUCUAAUGAGGGCUGUCUUAAUGAACUCUAAAAAGACAGAGGGAGACAGAAAAAAGCCAAACACCCCCUUCCCCAGCAGGAAUCCCUUCCAGCAAAAAUGGCCUUAAAUCCUUCAUUCUACCCUCAUGUCCUGACCACCUCUCACUGAUUCCUACCUCCUAGGAUGAAUCUCCCAACAUUUGCUUUUGGACCAAACACUUCCAAGCCACAUCACAUCAUAAUCAAGUCACAAGUCAAAGGACAAAACAAAGAAAAAAUUCAGCUCACAACACACAGAGUUUUCCUUCAGCUUCUAAGAAAAACUUGGACAGCAUGAAGAUAUCUCAAAAGGAAGGAGAUACAAGUGUCACAAAUGUGAAAAGAUACUUAAUUUUGCUCAUAAAACAUAAAACUGGAAAUCUCCUGAUCUCAGCCUUUUGGCUGCCAGGCAUGUAAUCCCUACACUUGGAUAAGAUUUGGAUAUUCCUAGACAACCUUGUUGGGUGUAAGAAUUGUCUUAAUUCCUAAGAAGGCAGCUUGAUAACAUCCACCAGAACAGGAAAAUCUUACAAUCUCUGACCUAGCUCUUUCCAUUUCAAAUGCAUCAUGUUUUCAUGUGCAGGAAAUACUGUAGAAAAGUUCUUCAGAGCAGAAUAACUUCUCCAUUUGGUCAAAAAGGCUGAGAUGGGAUAAACAGAUACUUUCUAAUGGCAAAAAAUUACAAAGGAAAUAUAAAUUAAUAGAAACCAAUUAAGUAAGAUGUAUGAAGAUAGCAAAAUGCCUAAUCUCUUGGAUAAAAUAGACUAAGAUACUCUAUCCACUUCUCUCUGUGUGUUUAUUUGAAUUUGACAUAUGUGUAUGAGUUAUAUGUAAACUACCUAUGUAUGCCUCUGUGUGUGUGUGUGUGUGUGUGUGUGUGUGUGUGUGUGUGUGUGUGUGCACGUGAGCACUAGAGACAGAUGUUGAGUGUCUUGCUUUUGUCACUCUACACUUUGUUCCUUUCAGACAAUGUCUCAUUGAACCUGGAGAUAGACUGGAAGCCAGAAAGUCCCAGAAAUCGUCUUGCAUCCAUCCUCUAGUGUAUUUUCAUGUGGACUCUGGGAUUUUGAUACAAGGUCUUAUGCUUGGGCGCCCAAUACUGUUACUCACUGAGCUAUUUGCCCAGACCCUCUAUUCCCUUUUACAGAGAGAUGCAUUCACAUGUCAAGGGUGUAUGUAAGCACUGCUUAUAAGGUGAACAGCAGAGGGCUACCUGUCCUCAGCCCUCAGCAAAGAAAGGGCAAGUUUCUUUCAAACAGUGCUCAAACCGUAGGACACUAUGCUUUAGAUCAGAAGAGGGAAACAGGUAGUUGUUGGCUGGCUAUAUGUUACUGAAGGAAAAAAACAGUAAGUUGCAGUAUGAUGAUUUAUCUGAAAAAAUAGUUCAUUAGAUGCUUAUGCACAAAGACAUAUAAAGAGGUCUAGAAGAAAAUACUCCAAAUUCUCAUCUGGAGGAAGGGAAAAGUGGCAAGUCCGGAGAAGAUUCUUCGUUAAUGACACUGCAAAUUUAUUUGCAAUGUCCUUAAAUUUUUAAGCAUUUGGAUAAACACACAUAUUCUAUUAUUUUAGUGCUGUGUUAAUCUAAGUUUUUAAAAAAAUCUAUUGAAAACAGCAGUAUUUCCUAAUAUGUGCAUACACUGGAAUUUCUGACAGUGUAUGAUACCAAGAUGGUGAUGUUCAUAGUCUAUCCUCUUUCUGGAUUAGGUCAGAAUCCUCCCUCACCACAUGACAUAUAUUCCCCAGUCUAUUUUCUCAGCCAAGAAAAGGUCAGAAGCUGAAUGAAUAUAUGAAUGAAUGAAUGAAUGAAUGAAUGAAUGAGCCUUGCUUGGCAGUUACUUUUCUGCAAAGCUUGUUUAAAGUAACAUUCAUGGGUACAACUGCCUCCCUUAACGCCUGACCUGGUAGGUAUGUUAGAGCUAUUCAGUGUUAAGAUGAAUGCAACUCUGAAACAUAGCCAGGACUUUUAUUCUGCAGAUUUCUGGUCUUGUACAGCAAGUAAUGAGAAUCUGGGAGAAUGUGCUGGUCAAAUGUAGGAAAUCACAGAAGCCCACUCUAGCCCACAAUACCCUUGAUUUUGUAAACAAAUGGAAUCCCUGAAGUGACCCAUGUUAACAAACCUCCUUAGACUCCCUGGAAAGCAAUGACUUCUAAAUCCUCAGAUGUUCCUUUUCAGGAUUAGAAGACAAUCUUUCUACUACGUGUGUGUCCUAGAAGAGCAGGGACGUUAUCAGAAUGGUUGCCAUUGUGUUCCAGUACUAGCAUCGUGCCUAGCACAGUGUAACCGUAAAUAUUUGUGGAAUGAGUGAAGCCACACAAAAGAAAGAUAAAAGUAAAAUACAGAUAAAUUCUACAUCGUCUUGAGAAACAGAGCAGAGAAAAGUACAUCCUGCACUUCCAUUUACGCAACCUUGCAGGACAGCGGGAACCGAUAGAAAUGUGGGGACAUUUAGAGUUCACGGGUAGAGGGGUUUGCCUGAGUUCUGGGGUUCUGGUCAUAUUCCAUUGCUUGAUCUGCUUGGAAGUUUCCUAAAUCACUUACUCUGUGAGAAAAUCCAUUAAGUUAUAGCACUGUGAUCAGUGCCCCUGCUAUCUCAAAGGUUUUUCAAAAGCCUCCUUUUAAGUAAAUGAAAUCAAUUUUUUCCAUAAAAAUAAGAAGUCACAGUUACAUAAAUGUAUGUCACUGAAAUUUUGAAAUUUCAGUCUGUCAAGAUGUGCAUGUCAUCUUUGGAAAAUAUCCUUCUAUCCCAAACAAAUUUUCAUUAUGAGUCUGUGAACAGGAAGUGCUAAGUACCCCUCCAGGGCUUCACACUGGACAAUUUCCUUGAUCCAUAUACUGCUCUGGUGUAGGGUGAUUCGGUUCCUGGUAAGACAGCAGCUAUGCAGCGGUGGUGGCUCUGCCUUUGGGGUUUUAAGCACCCAGGACUUUUCUGCUCUUAAUCUUCUGAAAACUUCCAACCCUGAGAUGAGGGAAGCUGUGGAAGAAGGAAACCAGGAGCUUCCCAACCAGUGUCCAGUACAUUUUCCAGUGUUUCCUCCUCCUUUAAUGCCCUCAUUAGAAAUAGUGCUCAAUUCCUUGAAAACAGCAAGGCUCUUUUGAGUUAGACACACAUACUUGGACUAAUUGGUCUCUUUGCAGGAUGGUUAAGGGCAACUUGAACAUUCACCAAAAACGGAUUGACGUCCAACAAUGUAGAAUAAGCAUUUGUAAAGAAAGAGUAAACUAUGUAUGUUCAAAGUACACAAAUAGGUAGAAAACACAAGAUGCAGAAUAUAUGUUUGGAUUACUAGUAUUUAUGAAUGUGUCAUUUUUUUUUCUACAAGAUAAUGCAGAAGGCUGUGGAUAUUGGUUACUCUCACAGGAACAUGCCAUAUGUGAAAGCAACAGUACUGUUUCCCUGUGUGCUCUAUAAUUCUUUGAAUAUUUAAACCAUAUUAUAUGUUGUCUAAUUAAAAAUAAGUUUAUCGGGAGGCAGAGGCAGGCGGAUCUCUGUGAGUUCGAGGCCAGCAUGGUCUCCAGAGCCAGUGCCAGGAUAGGCUCCAAAGCUACACAGAGAAACUCUGUCUCGAAAAACCAAAAAUAAAAAUAAUUUUAAAAGUGCAAAGUAACCCUUUGGUUAUGGGCCUCCAUUUUGCCAAGAAUGUAGGACAAUGGCUACUGGAUAGCCAAAGGGGUGUAAACCUAACAAGCAGGAAGUUUGUCUGAAUGUGUCAGAAACCUCUAGAUUACUUAGUCCACAGAUAAGCAUUUAAAUUUAAGUUACUGGAUUCUUAUUUUUAAGGAUUUAAACACUAUUUUUGUUAAUGUUAUAUUACAUUAUAUAGAAAAAGAGAUGUGAAAGAGGAAGGAGGAAGGAAAGUUUGAAAAUUUAAUGUCAGAGUGAAGGAAAUAUCAUGAACCCUCCGGGGUUUAUUCAAGCAUGCUCCCUUAGUAAAGGAACAGGAAGGUGUCUGACCAACAUUGCAGACAUUGGGGCGAGGGAAUAGAAGCCUUUAGUGACAGAUAAUUAAUUGUUCAUGCUCUGCACAUACAGCAUGAUGCUCUUUGCUACAAAUGUGUGGACACAUGUCAUCACACCUUCAUGGAUGCAUAGAUCCAAAAUUCAGCAAGUUUAUUCCAAGCAAUCAAAUGCUAUUUUAAAAAUUUCAUUUUUAAAUUUUAAAAAUUCAUGUCAAUUUUCCUAAGCCGAAUCAAGCUUAUGUCAAAAAUUAGAAAAUUUGUAAUAAAAUAGUUAAUGAGAAAAUAUUUUAAAUGUGCCACAAGUAAACCUUCCCAACAGUAUGUAAACAGAGUUCAGGAGACCCAAAUAACACACAUCACAAUGCUGCAUUAUAAGCUUGAGGACGUGACAGGUCUGAGAUUGCUGAUCAGGGCAAUGGCCAGUAGCAGAAUGCUUCUGACCCAAGGUGAUCCUGAUGUAUGUGCAUUUUCAUGGUACCAUCUUCCUGCUUAUCAGUCACAUCAUAUAUCACGCAUUUCUCUCAAAUGGACUUUCUAACUGUGAAAAAACAAAGCAAAACAAAACAAAAAACCAAGUAAAUCUUUACCCAGUAAGAAAAGAACACACACAUUUGCUACAACACUUUAAAAUUACAUCUAGAACUAGGCAUGGUGAACAGUCCCAGCCAUUUGGGAGGCUGAAGCACGGGAAUAACUUGAGCUCAGGAGUUUGUGGUUAAUCUGGGCAACAUAGUAAGAUUUGUCUCAUAAGCAAACAUUUUGAAAUACAUUUAAAGUAAAAUUUGUUCUAAUGAAAUUAUCCCAAUGGUAUUAUAUUUCCAUCUUUAUUAGGCUGUUGUUGGGAUGAAGGUCACACACUAUAUUCACCAUUCAAAAGUGAAUUAUUCGUUAUAUUUAAUGCAUUCACAAUGUACAAUUACCACAUCUAGUUCCAAAAUAUUUUCAUCACCCCAGUAAUGACCUUGUUUGUGCCCACUAAGCAAUUGUUUGCUCACAUCCUCCUGCUUUUCCAGGCCCUGGUAACUACGUAUCUUCAUUGUGUCUCUACAGCACUUAUUCCAGACAUUUUGCAGAAAUGGACUCUUGUGUAACCAUUUGUGUCUAGCUCCUUUGAUUCAUCAUAUUUUCAAGAUUCGUCUAAAUUGUAUUAUGUAUCAAUAUAAUUCUUAUGAUCAAGUAAUAUCCCAUUGUUUGAAUAUAACACUAUUUAUCUGCGAGAGUCACACGAGUUUAUUUCCACAUUUUGGGUGUUAAUUGUGAACAGUCACAUGUACAUAUCUUUUGAGUCCCUGACUUUGUGUGUGUGUGUGUGUGUGUGUGUGUGUGUGUGUGUACAAGUCCACAUGUGUGUGUAGCUAUGUGUAGAUGUUACAAGAUAACCGUGGUGUUGUCUUCAGGCUCUGACUACCAUAGUUUUCAAGACAGAUUUGGCAAUUUUGUGAGGCUGACUGGCCAUGUGCUCCAAGGACCCUUCACUUCUCAGUGGUGCUGGGUUACAAGUUCAUACCACCACACCCAGUUUAAGGACAUGGUCCUAGGGACCAAACUCAGAUCUUCAUGCUAAUGUAGCAGGCACUUUGUCAACUGAACCAUAGUGCUAAUCCCUGGUUUCAGUUUUUUGAUCUGUGUCUAGUAAUUGAAUCUCUGUAUAAUAUGGUAAUUCUGCAUGUAAUUUUUGAUGAAUUAACAAUUUAUUAAACAUUUUCCAGUGAGAAAUACACAAAAGCUUCAAUUCCCCCAUAUCCCCUCCAACACUUGCUAUUGUCUAUUUUGUGUGUAUGUGUAUGGGUGUGUGUGUAUGUGUUAAUGUGUGAGUAUGGGUGAGUAUAUGAGUAUGUAUGCUAUUAUGUGAGUUUAUGUGAGUGCAUAGUGUAUGACUGUGUAUUUGUUAAUGUGUGAGUGUGUGUAUGUGUAUGAGUGUACAGUGUUUGACUUUGUCUAUGAAUGUGAGUGUUUUGUGUAUGAGAGAGAGAGAGAGAGAGAGAGAGAGAGAGAGAGAGAAUGUGUAUAGAGUACCUCAUUGUAAUACCAAUAGUAUGCUGGCCUUUGCACACCUUUGGAGAAAUAUCUAUUCAAUUUUUUAUUUAAAAACAUAAUUGUCUUUUGUUGUGUUGCAGAAACUAUAUAUUCUGCUUACUGGACCUUUAUCAGACUCAUCUGUAAAUAUUUUCUUUUUGGCUUAUAUUUUCUUUGAACUAUCUUGAAAUGGUCUUUGAUAGACCUGCCAUUUUGCUUACCAAUAUUAUAUAGAGAAGUGCUAUUUUAUGUUCUAUUUUGUCUACUUAUAUAUUGGCCUUGUUUUAUGUUCAUUUACAUUGUUGUCAUACUGUUCUGUCAUCUUAAUAAUAAUUCAGCUUCUAUGGCUGAUUACGCGAGGCUCUUUUGAUUAUUAAAGCCAGUUCAAUCCAGUUCAUCACCCAGAUAUUACAAGCAGAAGCAAGGGACCUCCAAGGGAUUUGAUUCACCCCAUUACUUAGGAAAUUCCCAAGGGUUCAGAUGCUGUGUGCCAAGAACUGGUGACAAAUACACUUCUUUCAUCAAACCUAGUUAAGCAUCUUGUUUUCAAAUCUCUAACUUGUGAAAUCCAUGGUAAGGUUUUACACAUGAUACAAACCAUAGCACUCAUGUUAUUGAAGAUGGAGACACCAGCUCACCUUGCCUUCCUUUUCCACAGUUCGGUCUUUUCUUCCUUUGCUGUCUCAAUGUUUUCUGACCGCUGAACAAAGUAGAUGUAAAAGUCCCAUUCUAAGGUGAUCCUCUGGUUUUCUUUGUACUGAUUAAAUACAAAGUAGAUUUGAUUUCACUAAAUCCACAGGUGAAUGUGAACACUAGUACAGGGCCCAGUCCCUAUCAUCAGGUGCUGAUAGUCUUAUGAUGCGGAUAAAUGGUUUAACCCCAGGCAAAUGAUGAGAUAAUGAUAAUUGUGCACCGUGAAGUGCUACAUAGGGGUUCAUUACCAUCAUCUCAGGUACUAGUAGUGCACUGUCAUUCCCAUUUUACUUGUAUGUGACCAAGCUUCAGGCUUUCAGAAAGAUUGUCCUGAGCUUUUGUUGCUAACAAACACGAAUCUUGCUGAUAGAUGGGAUAAUGAAAGUAUCAGUUUGUCUGAGAGGGCUCUGAUGAGGACUGGAUAAUAAAAAUCAUUGUGAGAUAGUUAGGUCAGAGUUGCAGUGUACACAAUCCAGUCUAGUUUCCCUACAGCAUUCCAAGGUUAUCCUCCCCCCAACCCUCUGCCACAGCAACCUUGUAUAUUCCAAGUAAACCAGGAUGUCUGGUCACCCAAGAGUCAGGAACUCAGGACAUUCUCUCAGAAAACAGUUAUUUUUACUUCAGAGAUGAAAAACGAAGAUUAAAAUACUUGACAUUAUGCAAGAAACACAGGCAUCGUUCAGAAAAAAUGCUUCAUGAUCCCAGAAUUAAAGCAGUUAAUUCAUCCCCAAGGCCUCAGUAGCCAUACUCCCUACUUGGAUGCUGUUUCCAGCCUUUCCUUCAAUUCCUUAUUCAUUCCAUCCAACCUUAUAGAAUUAUGGAUUAGAGGAGAACAAAAGUAACUCGUACAUUUCAAAUAGUGAAAACUGAUCUUAGUGACUUACACUGUCAGGUUGAUGAGUCGAUUUUCUGAGGAUUUCCCUGCACUCAUCCACUCUAAACGGACAACAGUGAUGUCUUUUUGCACACUGGACACCUUGAGGUGUCAGUAUAGCCUCCGGCCAAAGAGGAGGGGAUGCCUGAAAUAACCAAGUCUGCUCUGGCCGGUGGGCUUUUCUUCCCUAAUGUUAAUGAAAUGAUCUUAAGAAGAUGAAAGUAAUAAAGCAUUUGUCCUUUUCUCUGUCCCAAGGAAUAGUCCACAACAGGCAGACUCCUAACUGAGCAGGUGGCCUGCCCCCAGUAACAACACAUAAAAAGACACAAGACUAGUCUAUCUUAAGUCACACUGUAACCAGCCAAAAGAGAGGUAAAAGCAGUCUUUCUAUGUUCCCAUUAGGAUUUUGAGUAAUCUUUUAUUUUCAUUUCAGCAGAGAGAGGAAAUUCAGAAUCAGUCACUUCAUUUCAAAUACAAUAAUCUUCUGGUAUUGUAUUUACCAUAACAUGUUACAGAGAAAGCGGAUAUUUCGCCUUGGAGCCGGGGCCCUUGCAGGGAGACUCACUUUCUCCAGCAGCCUGGUGUAAUAAGCUCAAGAGUGCUCCAGGCUGGGUUAAACUAUGGCUUUCCACCCCCACCUGUGCACAAACUGAACAGGAGGCAACCUUUAGGAAAACAGGAUUAGAUUUCACAAAAAGAUAUGGGAAGGGAUACAAAACCUCUCCCUCCCUGUCUCCUGAAAAAAUCAAAGAACAAAGGAGCCAGGGGCCAUGAUUUCCAAGAAGAGCCUUCUCUGAAGAGUCUCCGCUGGGCCACGACUUCUUUCUGACAGAAAUUUUGCUGGUUCAUUUUAAACAAAAGUAUUACAGACUUAGGCUCUUUAGUUCACAUUAUGUAAUUUUUUCUUGAAGAUACCUUUCAGGGCAGAUUGUGAGUUGUUUAGAUUUAGUAGAAAACACUACAAUCAGGUACAAAGAAGAAAGGAGGGUUUAUUUUUGGUCUGGGGCUCCAGUGGGGCAGACCUGUGGCCAGUCCUCCCCAGUGUUCCCGAGUCUCAGGUGUCAGGAGGCUGGUUGACAAGAAUGGCCUCAAGGGUAUGUUGGAACUAGUUUCUGUGAGCAUGUUCUUUUGUCCCUCUCUCCCCUUUUCUUUCUCGACUCUGCAGUUUAAGGGAGGCUCUUUCUUAAAGGAAUGUAGUACAAAAGUUGUGGGUCUUGCUCUUCUGAAAUGUUGCCCAAGAUUUGAAAACCUGCCCAAAGCAGUAGUGAUCUGAUACUUCAAAUGGGGAAAAUAACUUCGAUUGUUUUUCCCUUGGUGUUGUGGGCUGGGGAGUGUUAGUGAGACGCCACAUCUGUUUUCUAAAAGGGAGACUGUCUGCUAACCAUCCUAGCAAGACAGGGGAGGGAGAAGGGUCUCCUCAUUGAGAAUCAUGCAUACGUGUGAGGGACUUACUAGAUCUGCUCUAGAUUCUUGUGUUGAAUUAGGACCCCUGAGAUCACAGAAUGUGACAGUACUUGGGAGACAUAGUCUUCUAAGAAGAAAUUAAGGUAAAAUGAGGACAUGCCAGUGGGCCCUCCUCCAUGAUCAAAAGUACUCAUGGGAAGAAACUGUGCAUGGUGAGAACAGACCAUAUGAAUCACAAGGCAGACACCUACAGCCCAAGAGAUUAAGCCCAGGAGCAACCAGCUACAGACACCUUAAUCCUGACUUCUGCCCUCAAGUACUGGAAGGGGAAAAAAAAACCUUCUGAAUUAAACCAUCCAGUGUGUGGUGUUUUGUUUGGGGCAUAUGACCAUGUUUGCCAAGUCCAGUGACAAUUUCCAUUACAGAAUAUGGUCUCACUGCAGAUCAGGAGAGGAAUGGCACUUUGUUCUCUGAGCGUCUUCCCUUGGCUUAUUUAAUUAUCAUUUGCCCUUCCCUUUGCUCCUUUCCACCUCCUCCAUAGCCCCUUCCACUCCCCUUAAAAUUCAUGGCCUCUUAUUAAUAUUCAUAUAUACAUAAAUAUGCACAUAUAUAUGCAUAUAUAAAAUGCAACCAGUGUUAAUGAAUAUUAGUUGAAGAUGUGUUACAUUCUUUUAUGCUGUGGAAUAUUUGUUUAGUGAUGCAAAGAUGUGUUGCAUUCUUUUAUGUUGCAUUUAAUUCUGUAAAGCUGUGUUACUUUGCCUGCCUGAAAUACUUAAUUGGUCUCAUAAAGAGUUGAAAGGCCAACAGUUUGGUAGGAGAGGGAUAGGUGGGGCUGCCAGGCAGAGAAAAUAAACAGACAAAGCAGGUGUGCAAAGAAGAACAAGAUAAAGUGGGAGCAAGAGACAGAGAGGAGAACAUCAGGGGCCAACCACCCAGCUACACAGCAAAGUAAAGGAAAGAAUAUAGAAUAGAGAAAAAUAAAAGCCCAGAGGGAAAGGUAGAUGGGAUAAUUGAAGUUAAGAGAAGCUGGCUAGAGACAAGCCAAGCGAAGGCCAGGCAUUUGUAAGUAAGAGUAAGCCUUUGUGUGAUAUAUUUGAGAGCUGGUUGGUGGGCCCCUGAAAGAGUAAAAAACAACCAACAACGAAACUGCUGAGUUCCCUCAGUGUUGCAUAUGUAUAUUUUUUUAUGGGGGUGACCAUUUGGGAUUGUAUAAUCAUUUAGGGUGCUCAUCUCUAAAACAGACUAAUUCUUCCUCUCAGUAGCUUUUAAUUGCUUGCAGAUCUUUGUCUAGGGGUGGAGUCCCACAUGAUUGCACCCAUCCAUGUUGGGUGCUGUCAUUGAUCUGGUCUUGUUUAGGUAGCCAUAUUGUUGAGACUUCAUGGGUGUAGUGUAUCUAUCAUAUCUAAAAGAGUCAAUCUUGCAACAGACUUCUUAGCCCUCUGGCUCUUAAAAUCUUUUAGUCCUACCUCCACAAUGUUUCCUAGGCCUUGGGUAUAAGAGUUAUCAUACAGUCAGGCUUGCUGGUGCAUACCUUUAAUUCCAGCACUCUGGAGGCAGAGGCAGAGGCAGAGGCAGAGGCAGAGGCAGAGGCAGAGGCAGAGGCAGAGGCAGAGGCAGAGGCAGAGGCAGAGGCAGAGGCAGAGGCAGAGAGGCAGAGGCAGAGGCAGAGGCAGAGGAAAGUGGAUCUCUGCUCUCAAGGCUAGCCUGGGCUACAGCGCAAGUUUGAUUUCAGCCAGGGUUACAAAGAGAAACCCUGUCUUGAAAAACUAAUAAACAAACACAAAAAGAGUUGUUGUAGAUGUAUCAGUUGGGGGUUGGUACCCCAAGUCAGUUGCUUGUGGCAGAAAUAAUAAAAGACCCAGAGACUGAUAUUGGGGUUCAAGCUUCAAGCUGAAGAUCAGAGAAGCAAAGUAGCCAUGCCAGUAGAUUUUAGCUCUAUCCAUCUGAAAUGGCAAUCCUUUCUCCAUGAGUCCUCAGAGGCAAAAAGUUCUCAGAUUCUGUCUCCUACCUUUCAUCCCUCUCUCCGCCCAGUCAUAUCACUCCUGUCUCCAUCUCCCUAGUGCUUCGAUUAAAGGUGUGUGAUCCCUAGGCUGGGUGGUGGUGGCACAUGUCUUUAAUCUCAGCACUCGGGAGGCAGAGGCAGGUGAAUCUUUGGGAGUUCGAGGUCAGCCUGGUCUACAAAGUGAGUUCCAGGACAGCCUCCAAAGCUACAGAGAAACCUUGUCUAAAGUAAAAAAAAAAAAAAAAAAAGUGCGUGGUCCCUGGUACUGAGAACACCUUUGUGUGAGCUGUUUCUUUUAGGACUGGAUCAAUUUUGUGUAGUCAAUGUAGCCUUGAGCUAACAGAGAUCCAUCUAUGUCUUAAUCUUGAGCCUGGGAUUAAAGGAGUACACCACCACUGCCUGACCUAUAUAGCUUUGGGCUUACUUUGCUUUCUGAAUCCUCACGCAAACUUUAAUAAAUCGUGAAUAAUGUAUCACCGCAGUUGUUCUCUGCACUCGAAGUUCUCUGUAGUGGUUUCUGUCUGCUCUGAAAAGAAGCUUCUUUGAUGAGCCAAAUUUAUCUGUGGUUUAGGAAAGUGGUGGCAGCAGGUUUUCCUCUGAGACCUAUGACCUCACUAGCCACAGCUGGUUGGUUGGGAUCAAAAUAAUGGGGUGCAGAGCUAAACAGAGAGAAAAGAUGAAAUACAAAUGACCGAGAAACACUUGAAAAUGUUCAACACUUUAGCCAUUGAGGAAGUGCAAAUUAAAAACUUCUUUGCUAUUUAAUUUCCCCUAAUCAGAACAGGUAAGGUCCAAAAAAAUGAAUGACCACAAAUACUGUCAUAAAUGUGAGGAAAGGGAAACACAGAAACACUUCCCACUGCUCUUGAGAAUGUAAAUUGGUGCAACCACUAUACAAACCAGUAUGUUUGACAAAACUGCUAAUAGAUACACAAUCCAGCUAUCUGACUUUUGGGCAUAUCUAUGUAUCUAUAUGUAUAUGCUUCCAUAGCCUAGUCUAGAGAUACCUACUCAUCCAUGUCCAUUGCUGCUCUAUUCACAAUAGCCAGGAAAUGGAAACAGUCUAAAUGUCCAUCAGCUGAAAAACAUGUGGUAUAUUUACAUGGUGGAAUAGUAUUUAGCUAUUAGGAAAAAUGAAAUUUGUGGGUAAAUGGACAGUGCUGGAAACAGUCAUCCUAAAUGGGGUAACCCAAACCAAAAAGAGAAAGAUCAUACGUUUUCUUUCAUCUGUGGAUGAUAACUUUGCAUCUUCAGUCAUGCAUGUUUCAUUUGAAAUACCCAUAGAGGUCAGGAAAUUAGUAAGGGGCUCUGGAAAGGGACUUCAAAGGAGAGGAGAUAGAAUAUACUGAUAUAAAGGGUUAAAGGGGAACAAUGGAACUAGAACAGGAUGUGUUAAACUUGGGUGGGAGAGAAGAGUAUAGGUAAUGGAAGGAAUGUGGGAAGGGAUAAAUAAAACUAAAGACUUUUGAAAAUACAUAUGGAAACCUACUACUGUAGAAGCUUACACAUGCAUGCGUGUAUGUAUGUGUGUGUGUGUGUACACACAAGAGACAGGCAGACACACACAGAAGGGGGAAGGGAGAGAGAGAGAGAGGGAGGGAGAGAGAGAGAAAGAUAGUUUAAACGAGGUUAACCUAAAACAAGUCAACAUUCCCCUUACUACAUGCCAGAUAAUAACAAAUAAAGAGCCUAGGACCAAGAAUGGGUUAUGAAUUUUGGAGUUGUUGGACCAUGAGGUCCUGUAGAUCCCCAACCAUUAUAUACUAUUGUCAUUGCUCUUGGUUACCCUCCAGACUGAUGUGAAGACUCUACAGCUGAAGAGACAACAUACUCAAGUCAUAGAAUAUGAAGAAAUGGAUCUAGUAUGGUCCUGGAAGCUUCAUCCCUAUUAGCUAGCUUUCAUAGUGCUAGAAGCUACUGGAGGAGAAAAGUAACUAUUAAUCAUACCCAGCUAUGAACCUGAUGGCUACAAUAAGAAGAAGCCUGGCCAUUCAUGCCCACUGAUACAAUAGUGACAUGAACAUCAUUUGAGGAAACAGCCACUUUUUGAUUGGAUUUAAGUUUCACGCCACAAACCAAAAACCUAUAACCAGCACCAUUUUUAAGCCAAGAUCCUAUGGCUAGACAAGCCAAUUCAUAGUCUCGAGGGGAGAAAAAAAUACUAUUGUGCUGCUAAAUAGAUAUAGCUUUAAACUGAAUUCUAAUGGACACGGUAUACCCAUUGAUCAGUAUAAAUCUCAACCCUCAUCUGAGAAGUUCCUGUUUUUAGUAGAUGGUGAUGAAUAUGGAGACCUACAACUGACCAGAGUGCACAUACAGUAGCCCACCCAAGCCCCCUCUAUGGCUUAGAGAUGGGAAAGGCGAGGAUAAAGUGGAAGAGCCAAAGGUGAUGGAUAACUAAAAGGAAAUAGUGUCUUCUGGACACACCAAGGCAAUUGUACAUGUGAACUUGGUGAUCGUGAUAGCAUACAUAAAAUCGGUGCAAGCCCAAGCCAGAUGAAUUCCAGAAUAAAGGAGGGAGUUGGACACGUAAUCCCAUUCAUAGCCCUGGAACUAUUGGCAAUUGUUAGCUGCUGGGAGAGGGAAUGACAUUUUUCUAGGAGUGUAGCCCUUGGUAAGCUGGCCAUGAUCCAAUGGAAGACCACACAUCCAAGAAUAUUAUAGAAGCACAAUUUGGUCUCAAAGGGUUUAAAAAGAAGAAAAAAGGCUACAAAGUUGGGUGGGUGGAUAGGGAAAUAGGGGUAGGUCUUGGAAGGGUUGAAGGAUGGGGAAUGAGCAUGAUCAAAACACACUAUACAAAACUUUUAAAGAACUAAUAAAACACAAGGUGACAAGCCACUAAAAAGGCAUCUUUAGUGUUGGUUGAAAGAAUUAACCAUUGUGCAUUUUUACAAUUAUGUCAUUACAUGUAAUACAGUAAUACAUGACAACUGUAAAUUUAAUAUCAUUGCAAGUAGAUUUUUAAAAAGCCUCAAUACACA